AGCACAGCAACAAGCCCAGCCUACACAGGAAACAGCACAGCAACAAGCCCAGCCUACACAGGAAACAGCACAGCAACAAGCCCAGCCUGCACUGGACACAGCAGAGCAAUGUGGCGUGGAACCUGCACAGCCUGACCUGGUCCUGCAGACCCUUCCCCAUGAUGAAACCACAGGAAACUCAGCCGAAGUGGCCCCGUCCACAUCCUCAGGAAACGACGCUGAGGCCGAAGCCAAGACUCCACCUGUCAGUAAAGCAGUCCCAGCUUUAGAGGAAAGUUUGGGUUUUGAGGUCAUCUCACUCAGUGACAUUGUCCCUCAGAAUAAUAGCUGCUACUAAAGGGCUGAAGGAGAUGAAAAGCUAGUGAAAGAAAGUGCAACAAAGGAAGACAAAAGGAGAGAUGGAGGACAUGGAUCUCUGCUCCUACAGAAUGACUGUAUAAGACAAUGGAUGGAGAAAGCAGAGACAGAGAGGGGAAAAAAAAUCAAAGUUUAAGGAAUGCUGAAAAAAGACAUAGGUAUUGGGUGUCUAUGGUUUCUAUGCACUUUAGCUUGUUGCUAUGGAAAUACUGCCAAAAAUAUAUAAAUAACUUACGUCAGUAUGUGCCUCAUAUCUCCCUGUGUAUAACAGGUAGACUUGCCAAACAUGACAGCAGAAACUUGCCAGCUUGUCAAACGGGACGGUAAAAGUGGUCGUGUCUUAGGUACACGUUCUGUCCUAAUUUCCCUUCUUCCACAAGCUUAGGGCAGGAAUGUGACGUUUCAUGGCUGGAUCCUCUCUCAGCCUGUCUGUUCUCACAUCAAUCUCAAAUGGAGAAACUGAACUAGACCUUAAGUAUGAGUUCAGCUUGGUUUGGAAUUAUGUAAGAAAGAGGACAAUUUUGUCUGGUAAGAGCCUGGUGUUAUUAUUGUUGUUGUUGUUGUUUUUAAUGAUGUAUUUCAUCUAUGUAAUGUGCCUGUACUCACAUGUAACUCUUUACACAACUGUACAUGGCACAUCCUUCUCUGGCCCCCUUGGCCAUCUCUGACAUAGCACUGCAUGAUGGUGCCCAAGAAGAAAAAAAAACACGAAAAAGCAAAACAGAAAAAAAUAAAGCAUUGUAAUUUUGCUGGAUUUUUAAUGUAAACCAAUACUGUUAUAAAACUGUUCAUUGUUUUUGUUUUAGCCUGUAUCGAGCACCCUUCACUUUUCUCUGUAACAGAGAAGAAAUUUGCCCUUGAUGUGUAUAUGAAGGAGAAUACAUAACUACAGUGCAGUAGAGGAUCUAUAAUAGGUUUAUCCUCAGCAUGGUAGCAUAGCUAAGUUUACCUUGAUUGAACUGUUCGUGUAAGGUCUUCACGGAGGGCUGUGUAUUAGGGUACACACACAGACUGGUAUGUUUCGAUUCCCUAUACCCUGCAUGCUGGAUUUUUGAAGUGGCUCAUGGUUGAGAGCUGAGUAAUGUGCCUUGCCUGACAGUCUGUCCUUCUCAGCUCCACUAGAGUGUGCUGAUCUUACUGUUCUUCCCAGAUACCGUCACAGUCUCCCCCAAGGGUUAGGUGCUCUGAGAGCUUUUCACAGUUCUCUUGUUUUCUUGAAGGAAAUUCUUAAUCUCGCCUAAAUUUCUGAAGUAUUAAUAUGAAAGGGUUCCCGCUACAUGACUGUGAAUUAUUGGAGUUGAGAAGCUAUAAGCAAAAUGUGAAACAUUUGAAAUGUAUUGAAAGAGGGCUGAGUGUUUCUGAAGCCACAGAUCUCUGAGACUAACCUCAGGACAAUUCACAUCAUCGCUGCAAAACAGUUAGGUGCACCAAGUGUGUAAAUAGUCCUAUUUAUUUUUCUCUGUUUCAUAAUUUAUUUUCUUAUAUCUUGUGCCCAAAAUGUAUUAUGAUGUACCUUUUUAUGAUAGUGUUGGAAAAGAGAAUGGUGAUUAUAAAUUGCUUGAUUUUUCUGUCUUUGUUUGAUUGACAAGCGAUUGGAUGGCUAUGCAGUGAUGUUUGAUUCUUUGUAUGGUGAAGUCACCAGCAUAUUUACCUUCCUUUCGGUAAAAUGGGCUGAUUUACAUUUUUAAAUGAGAUGUGUGAGAUCUCCUCCUGUAUUGUUGUCUCAGACACUGAGGUAUGUUUGAUGCCUGCUCAGAACCUUUUGUUUUGUCUGAAUGUUCAAAAAAACUUUUCACAACCCAAGAAAAUGAUUCUAGACAUGUAUUUAACAGUGCAGUUCCAAUUCUGCUCCUACUCAGUUUUACCGAAAUACCAUUGUCUCAUUAUACACUGCCUUUCGUGGUAUUGACCAUGUGACUGACGCUUCACUGAGAGAGUUUAUUGGAUGACAUUUAAAAUAAGUGGUAAAAUAUUUUUAAAGGAU